UGUUUCCUUCUCAGUGGAAACCAGGCUCUGGCCAAAAAGAGGAACGCGCCCUGGUUUCUGUCAUAUUUAUGAGCUGGGUCACGUUUUUAAAAACGGUUAGGGCUUCGCUUGGCGUUGGGGCCGGAUGUUAAGUCAGGCACAGAUUUUAUACGGGAUCUGGGCGCUCCGGUGUUUUCAGUGCGGCGCUCCAGGAAACGGCCGGGCGGCGGGCAGCCCUAACUUCAGGGAAUUAAGGGUGGUCCGCAGCGCCCCUCCAUGCUCCCGGGGAAGUUCUACGAGGCGGGAAAGAGGCGAUGCAGCCACCGAGCCACCGGAAACCUAGGCGCCCGCGAGUGCGGCUGGGCAGCUGCACGCGUGUCCGGAACGCUGGACCCUCGCCCCCGCGCCGGGGCUGGAGAGGAAGACAGACGGACCGGGCGCCGGAAGUGAGGGCUCGGAAGAAGCGCUACUUCCGGCGCCAUUGCCGACUCUUCGCUAUGGCUAUGCUCGCCAGACAGGUUCUUAAUUUGCACCGCCAAAUUCCCCUCACCUGGGUCUGUUUGGCUAAGUUGAUGCCUCACCUUGGAGAACAGAAAAGGACAGCUGUUUCUUUGUUCCGUAAACUAACAACAACUUCCAAUGGAGAGGGCCUUGAGGAGUUACCCUUGAUUGGCUCCAAGAAGCAUGUGCAGGAACUGAAGUGCCGGGCGGAUCUUGUUCAUUGCCUCCCUGAGAAGCAGAGACUUUCUGUGGAUGGAGGGCCACUGACUCUAGAGAAGGUGGUCUGUUCUCUCCUGCACAUGGGUUUCAGCGAUGCCCACAUUAAUGAACUGCUUAGUAUACAGCCACAUGCCAGCCCUCAGCAGUUGCUAGACGUCAUUUCAGAGUUUAUACUCCUGGGUGUGAAUCCAGAGCCUGUGUAUGUGGCCUUGAAGAAAAGCCCCCAGUUGCUGAAAAUGCCUGUAGGGCAAAUAAAGAAGCGUUCCAGUUACUUGAGAAAGCUUGGCCUUGGAGAAGGGAAACUAAAGAGGGUGCUCCACAGCUGCCCUGAAAUUUUCACCAUGCGUCAGCGGGAUAUCGAUGAUGUUAUUCAGGUCCUCAAGGAGAAGUGCCUUUUCACCAUGCAGCAGGUCACUGAAAUUCUGCACAGAUGCCCCAAUGUGCUUCAGGGGAAUCCCAGUGAACUGGAAUACAAAUUCCAGUAUGCAUACUUUAGAAUGGGAAUUAAGCAUGUGGACAUAGUAAGGACUGAGUUCUUAAAAUACUCAUUAACCAAGAUCAAGCAGAGACACAUAUACUUGGAGCGCCUGGGACGGUACCAAACACCUGAUAAGAAGGGGCAGACGCAGAUUGCAAACCCUUUACUCAAGGACAUUCUCAGAGUUCCGGAGGCUGAGUUUUUGGCCAAGACAGCCUGUUCCUCUGCUGAGGAGUUUGUGGUUUUUAAAAAGCUCUUGGCUCGGGAGGAAGAAGAAGAGCCUGAGAGCAGCACAUCUACUGAGGAGGAGGAGGAGGAGGAGGGAGAGGAAGAGGAAGAAAGUGAGGAUGAACAUGAAGAGGAGUUGUGCUGAAGGGCUGAGGCAAAAGGGCCCAGGAAACUUAGGAGCAUUCUUAGCCUCACAGCUUUUGAGAGCCCACGUGGAUCCUCUCAGGUGCUUUACCAUGAAAUAUUUCAAGCCCUGAGGAGGUUUGUGAAUUCUUGGUCCCGACCAGGACUCCGUUGCUUGCACACCUUGGAGUAUUUUGUGUGUGUCUUCAGAGGCUGUGGUGAGAGGGGAGGGGACAUAAUUGAGUGCUACCAGCUGCUCUUGACAGACUGCACAUCUGAAGCAGCCUGGCUGUGUUAGCGCUGCCUCACAGGCCUCCUCUCAGAGUUUAUUCUGAUGCCCGUGGAGCUAUACCCAGCGUGCCCCAUUGAUGUAGACCCCUCGUUGGUGUGUGACAAUCCCAAAAGCCUCCUUGGUUCUGGCUGGUCUUUGCUGCCUUUGAGGGAUAUCUCCCUUUUACCUCCUUGGCUAUGGAAGAAAAGAGGCUGUGCCUGAGAUGGCUCCUGACAGAAGAGACUCACGCCCUGCAAGGCCAGCUUGUCCAGGGGUGGCACAGGCUGCUGCUGGAGGCUCCAGGCUUUCAUCCUAGUGACAUCAUGUGGCUGAGAAGUUCAAUAUAGAGCCGGCUGCAGACUGCAGGUCAGUUUCUGUGGCCCCAGCCAGUAUUUUUCAAUCAGUUGUAAAUAAUGCUCUUUAGGAAUCAGCAGAGCCGUGUGUGCAGGAAGGUGAGGGGAUGCAGAGGUUUAUCUGCCAGAAGAGCUGGGAAAUGCCUGAUCAAGCAAAGGUAGCAUUUCUUUGAUUUCAGGGUUCAUGAUGCAAGGAAUACCAGUGUCUGCUGUCUUCAGGACCUCCCAGAUGUUCUGUGACCAAGGCCCCAGGCCACUUUCCUUCCAGCACAAUGCCACACACAGUGUGAUGCUCUUCUGGUACCCCAGGGUCUCAGCCCUCCUCACCCUCCCACCACCUACUCUGAAUUCCCUCCAGGCGUCCAGUUGGUCUUCUGGGCAGUCUUCAGCCUCCCUGAGGGGCCCCCUUCCAGCUGCUCUCCUUCCCCUUGAGAGAGUGGGACUUAUUUCUGCCUGAAGAAGACUGUUUCUGAGGCUGACCAGGUUCUGCUGGUAUUCCACAGCCUCUGGUCAGGGUUGUACAGCAGCGCCUGCUUGCUUGCUGAGGCAGUGCCAAGAGGAGCCGCAGUGCUUGGCCUGGGACAGGUGGACCCGCCUUUCCCUCUGGCCAGCAGCUCUCAGACUGGUGGAGUAACAUACCUUAAGGUUUCUUCAGUGUUUGACUGUUACUUUGUUUGCUGAAAUAAUCAAGAAAAAUGUUUUAAGAGAAAGAGACUUGUGUACCUCAUCAUGCAUGCUUCCUGUCCAGAACCCUGCCAGAGCCCUGUGCUGCUCACAUCUAUCUCAGUGGUACAAAGUGUGGACUACCUGCUCCAGGUGGUCACCAUGGAAGGAGAGGACAGCAACUGGAUGUGUGUCAUGGGGAGAACAUGGAAGAGGCCAGGCAGAAACUGCCUAGGGAGAUGGAGCAGCAGCUGGGGUGAGUGGCACCCUGAAGCCUUUGCCUGGUGCCCUGUCACACAAGGGGUAUGUCUAUGGAGGGGAUGACUCAGGGUCAGACCCCAUUGUGAAAGCAGUGAAACUCCAAACAGCAGUCAUUCUGUGGCCACCUCAAACCCUUUGAGAAGAAACCCAGAUGUGAGCACAGUAAAUGGGUUCCCUGUGUCUGCAAUUACAUGCUCAGACCUGUUGGCACCACAACCUGUGAGUGUGCAGACUGCUUAUGCCUUCAUGCCUAGACACCUGACUCUGCCAGUCCCAUCACCACCACAGCCCACCUGCUGCUAGCUGCAUAUAGGCCUCAGCCAGGGCCCCAAGAUGUACCUGUUUGGGGUUUCUUGAGGCUCGUGCUUUCACAGAGCUCUCUGAAGCAGACAUCUUGGUGAACUUUGUAGACUCUUUUAUACCUGUUGUCACAAGAAAGCUCUGUGAAAUCAAGAUACUGAAGCAGAAUGUUGCCCAGUUGCUUGGCCUAGGCUGUGCUGACCACAGGUAAAUAAAAAGGUGCUUGAGGCAAGACCACUAUUUUCCUGAUAAAAUCUUACCUGCUGUGAGUACAUGAAAAUGUCUAACAUAAAAGUCAUGUGAAUUUUAAAGCAUCAGCUUUACUGAGUAUGACAUACAUACGAUACACAAAUUUCAAGUGCAUUUUGAUAAGUGCUGACAAAGCUGUAAUGAGAUUACAGUGUCACAUUUCAAUGACAGGACUUUGCUGGAAGCAUAUCACCUCAAGGCCUUGGGAAGGAAUGACCCCAAUCUUGUCUAUUUGGGGAUUUCAUGGAGAAGAUUGAGAAGCUUUGAUAUGUGGACUGUUUGGACUAGGAAACUUGAUUCCAAGCUUGCCUCUUCCAUUUUUGAGCCGGGCAACUUGAAGUAAGAUUCUUUAGCUUGUAAAGUGGGAGUUAUAUAUACUGCCUCUCAUGAGUCUAUAGACGACAAGGAUGGGAAGGGCUUGUCUCGGAGCCACAUGGGAGCUGGAUGGGUCACAAGGUGCAGCCUUGGAUACUAUAGCUGGUCCCUGGCCACUCCUACUGCAGUUCUGCUCUGCCUCCCAACCAGCAUGAAUUGAGCAGCUCUGCCCCACACCACACCUUUCCACCAUGAUGUUUUUACAUUGAGCCUGCCAAUCCUGGACUGAGUCCUCUAAACCUUGAGCCAAAUUAAACCUGCUCCUUUAUGUUGUGAAUGUUGGCUAUUUGGCUGCAGUGAUGGGAAAGCUGACUAACAUGAAGUAACUGUUUUCUGAUGUUAGAAAACAAGCAAUCUAAGAAACAGACUACAGACCAUUAGAAGAUAGAUACAUGAGAUGAGCCCUGUGGCCAUCCUGCAGUUCAGCCUGGAGCACCAUUAGAUAGCACUGCCAAGAGGGAGCUGGGUAAUGAUCAUGCCAAGUUGAAAUGGACUGCAGUGGGGAAGUAGAGGAAAGCAGGAAUUGUGGGUGGUGCACUGGAGAGGAGCUCUGCAGAGGAGCAGCCUCAGAAACCUGUGGCUGCAGGUUGAGCCAUGCAGGCCAGGAGAAAAGGACACAAGGAGCAGUGUCAUACUGGGGCUGGUGCAGACAGAUCUCAUGUAAUAACAAGGGGCAGAUCUACCCUAGAAUAAGGCGACUUGAGAGCAAACCUCAAGAAAAUCUGACUGAACUCAAGAAAUGUCUUGCAGCUGGGUGAGGUGGCUCACACCUGUAAUCUAAGCACUCGGGAGGCUGAGGUGGGAGGAUUGUUGCAAGAUUGAGACCAGCCUGGGCUGCAAAGUGAGCUCAAGGCCAGCCUGAACUGCAUAGUGAGACCCCGUCUCAAAAAAGACCAAAAAAAAAAAAAAAAAAAAAAAAAAAAAAGGUCUUGCAGAAAAGAACAAUGAUCUUAAAAAAAAAUCUAGCACUCAGUAACAUAAAAUUUAUAGUUCAGGAUCCAGUAAAAAAUUGCAAAACAUUCAAAGAAUCACAGGAAAUUGUGGCUUCUAAUUGAGGGAGGAAAAAAGACACAGAAAAAAGAACAAUGACGGAAGUCACAGGCAAGGGCUGUAAACAUGAUGCCUCUGCUGCAUUUUGGUGACUGGAAGAAAUGUGAUGAACGUAAUGAAAAGUGGAAUACCUGCAAAUGACAGGAUUCAGUGUCUGAAGUGAGAUUCUGUUGGUAGGAUUGAUGGCAAGUUGUUAGUUGCUGUAGAAGAAAAGACUAUGAUCUUGGACACAGCAGAAAACUGUCCAAAAAGUAAAAAGGGCUCCAGUGAUCUGUGGGAUGAUAUUGGUCUAACACACAUAAGAGUUCUAAGAGGAGGAAGAGUGGAGGGACAGAAAAAAAUAUAAGAAACAAUGGCCCUGAUGUUCCUAAUUGGACAAAAUCUAAAGCCUUAAAGGUAUGAAAAGCUUACAUCUCAGAGUAAAAACCAUACCAAAGCAUACCAUAUUUAACUUGGCCAGAAAUAGUAAUAAAGAGAAAAAUGUAAAAGCAGCUAUGGGAGCGGGAGGAUUAUGGUAACCAUUGUUAAUCACCUUGUAUUAUGUUUUUACAUUAUCUAUUAUGUCCACCCUUUUGAUUUGACCGACUGUUCUGUUAUGUGACAUUUGGUUUUACUCUCUUCCAAAAAAAGUAAUAAGAACUGUGGGAGCAAUAAAACUCAAAAUGUGUAAUAGUCAUUGUACAAAAGAGAGGAAAAGAAAGUGCUCUAAACGAUGUAACUGCAUGUGUAUUUAAGUGUAUAAGAUAGACAAUGAUAUUACUGAGUUUUGUUGGAUCAUUGAACAGAACUGUUUGGUCUCACCGUUUGAAUGUCCACUAUACAAGCUUUAAUUUUGUAACUUGAACAAAUAUUUCUAAGAUGACAAUAUGUAAUCCA